UACGAAGGGGGGCUAGCGUUGCUCGGAAUGACUGGGCGUAAAGGGCGCGUAGGCGGCUCGCGAGGUCGGGGGUGAAAUCCCGCAGCUUAACUGCGGAAGGGCCUCCGAUACCGGCGGGCUGGAGGAAGGUAGGGGUGCGCGGAACUUCUGGUGGAGCGGUGAAAUGCGUUGAUAUCAGAAGGAACGCCGGCGGCGAAAGCGGCGCACUGGACCUUUUCUGACGCUGAGGCGCGAAAGCUAGGGGAGCAAACGGG
rnacentral:rRNA from 1 species